rnacentral:rRNA from 1 species
AAUGGGCGCAAGCCUGAUCCAGCCAUGCCGCGUGAGUGAUGAAGGCCCUAGGGUCGUAAAGCUCUUUCGCCUGUGAAGAUAAUGACGGUAGCAGGUAAAGAAACCCCGGCUAACUCCGUGCCAGCAGCCGCGGUAAUACGGAGGGGGUUAGCGUUGUUCGGAAUUACUGGGCGUAAAGCGCGCGUAGGCGGAUUAGUCAGUCAGAGGUGAAUUCCCAGGGCUCAACCCUGGAACUGCCUUUGAUACUGCUAGUCUUGAGUUCGAGAGAGGUAAGUGGAAUUCCGAGUGUAGAGGUGAAAUUCGUAGAUAUUCGGAGGAACACCAGUGGCGAAGGCGGCUUACUGGCUCGAUACUGACGCUGAGGUGCGAAAGUGUGGGGAGCAAACAGGAUU